GUCCACGCCGUAAACGAUGACGACUAGGUGUGGGGUGGUUCAGUCCACUCCGUGCCGCAGCUAACGCAUUAAGUCGUCCGCCUGGGGAGUACGGCCGCAAGGUUGAAACUCAAAGGAAUUGACGGGGGCCCCGCACAAGCGGUGGAGCAUGUGGUUCAAUUCGAUGCAGAGCGAAGAACCUUACCUGGGCUUGACAUGCUGGAAGUAGAACCCCGAAAGGGGAACGACCUGUUAAGUCAGGAGCCAGCACAGGUGGUGCAUGGCUGUCGU
rnacentral:rRNA from 1 species